CUACGGGAGGCAGCAGUGGGGAAUCUUGGACAAUGGGCGCAAGCCUGAUCCAGCCAUGCCGCGUGAGUGAUGAAGGCCCUAGGGUUGUAAAGCUCUUUCACCGGUGAAGAUAAUGACGGUACCCGGAGAAGAAGCCCCGGCUAACUCCGUGCCAGCAGCCGCGGUAAUACGGAGGGGGCUAGCGUUGUUCGGAAUUACUGGGCGUAAAGCGCACGUAGGCGGGUAUCCAAGUUGGGGGUGAAAUCCCGGGGCUCAACCCCGGAACUGCCUCCAAAACUGGGUACCUAGAGUCCGAGAGAGGNGAGUGGAAUUCCCAGUGUAGAGGUGAAAUUCGUAGAUAUUGGGAAGAACACCAGUGGCGAAGGCGGCUCACUGGCUCGGUACUGACGCUGAGGUGCGACAGCGUGGGGAGCAAACAGGAUUAGAUACCCUGGUAGUCCACGCCGUAAACGAUGAGAUGCUAGUUGUCGGGCAGCAUGCUGUUCGGUGACGCAGCUA
rnacentral:rRNA from 1 species